AGAUAGGAGCUGAUGAUAAUAGCAGUUUGCUUAAAUCUAACUACUGUGUGGCUUUUGUGAGAUUUUGAAUCAAGGAUGUCUUUAAGAACAUGUUUGGAGUCCAAUCUCAUACAACAUCCAAGGGAAUUCAAUCUGACCGGCUUCUGAUACGUGUGAAGUUCUUUCCAAAUACUUUCACCUUCCAGGACAAUUCUAUUCACUAGAGACAGUUUUCCUUCAUAAUCUUAUUUAGGAGAGAAGUGCCAAAAGGAUCCUCUAAAUUCAAGUUCACUUUCUAUUGGAUAUCAACCUGUCAAAUAUGGCAGCAAGAUUCCAUGGGAAGAACACUGAAAGCCAGAAAGAGUGUUGGAGUCUAGAUUAUCUGCAGAUCAGGUUCUUCCUUUGUAUCCAGAUGAAAGUUACAAGCAUAAGGCACCCACAGAAUAAAAUGUGUGUGCUGUGUAUGUGUAUUUGUAUGUAUGCUGGAUAGGCUUAAAAGGUCCAUCUAGUUCAGUAUGCUGCUUCACAGCAGAUACCAGAUGCCACUGGGAGGUUGUCAAGUAAGACACUAGUUUCUGGCAGCUGAUAUUAAGUGAACUACUGUAUAUUUGUGUUACCAUGUACUUUGCAUACUUCACUGUAUGCUUUGUAGAAAUGUAUUAGCCAGGUUUCAAAAUUCAAGAUUCUUUGAAGGCAGAAUAUAAAAUACAGUGAGGUCCACAUAAAAUAGAUAACUGUUUUCAAGGUUAAGGAGAUACAGUGAUGACAAAGAAAAGCAAUACUGUCAAUUACAUUACUUACCAUUUCAAUCAAUUAAGAUUUGCUUGCAGGGUGGAAGAGAGCAAGGGAAAGUCACUUGUAUAACACCAGAUAUGUAGAGCCUUAUCCUAUUUUUAAAGACCUGUGGGAUUCCUGAAUUCUCCCAUAAUCAAGAUCGUAUUAUUGCAUAGAGAAAAGGAUUAACAAUAGAGCAACUCACAAGUAUUUUAAGUAUUUUAAGAAACAAUCUGGGAUAUGCCUGUCAGAUCUUUGAAUUCUUUAGGAUUGAGACAGAGAUUCUCUUUUCAUUAUGCUAGUUCUUCUGACAUUUCUACAUAGUUGAAGCAAUACAGGUUUUAAUAACAUUACACAAUGAUAUUACUGACUGCACAAUUUUAUUGUUGGAAAUUGCCAUGCGAAUCUAUCAAGCAGAAGGAUAGGGUACAAAUAAAUGGCUGAUUUUUUAUUUAUUUUUUAAACAGGGCGCCUGAUAAUUGUGUAACUCGAAGCUAUCCAAUUGCCAAAUUGAAUCUGGCUGGCAGUCAGCAAUAAAUACAUUCUGAUUGUUUCUUAGAUGGUAAAAACAGUACAGGAAGAAGCAAGUUAAUAGAUGAAUGGAAAAACAGGAAAAACGCUUUUGAUAAUAUUAAAAAUUCCACUGAAACAAAUCUGGUGAUAUCUGCAGAGCUACAAUGUUAAUUCUGAAAUGCACAGCUUGUGUUAUAUGACUACAGUUGUGUAAUUACAACUUGAUCCCCAUAUCAGCAACUAUAGGAUACUGCAUUCUAACUGACAACUACAAUCUUGUAUUGGCUUCACACCCAUCAUAAAAUGCAGGAGAAAGAUUUAAUGGAGGUCUUUAUUUACAUAGCUUUCCCACCCCCCACCCCCACCCCAAGUAGAUCAAGAAGGUGGGAUGUGUGUAAGAAAGGAAACAGAAAGAAAUAUAGGAUAAUGUAGGAUACUUUGCUCUACUUUCUUGCUGUCUCGUGGAGGAGAAAAAAUACGAUGCUCUUGUCACUGAACCAGUUCAGUUUUCCCAUUUAUAAACAAGAAAAUGAAGAGCCUUUUGUCAAAAGUGAUUUCUGCAGAAGCUACUAAGAAUAUUUACUUAGAAAUGCUGCGACAAAGCAGGACAUUGCCCCUUAAGCAAAGAACAGGUCAUUCUGAGACAAAAUAAGACAAGAGAAAAGGAGUAGGAUGAGAAUACACACACACAUCUACUAAUACUAAUGAAGGCUAGAGGAUGACUUGUCACUUGCAGGUGUAAUCAAAGCAUCCAGACAGACAUUGUUAAACAAAGAUCAUCUCAUUCUACUGAAAUGCAUUACAUCUCUUUAGAGCUGUUCACAUACAGGAUACAUUAAGACAGCACAAAUAUUUGUAAAUAAUUCCCUUGAGCUUUAAUGGGCCUUCCAUCUGAAUAAACAGAUUACUCAUUUCUUGGGUUUUCCUGUAUUCUCACCAAUCUGAUCCCUAAUAAGAGAUAUCGGUGACUGGAUAUCCAUGACAUAUUGAUCAACAUAAUCUACCCUUCUGACAGCCGAUUCAAUUGUUAAACUUUAAUUCUGACUUUUAUCUCAUUUGUCCAUUAUCUAACAUUAUUUCCUUUAAUGACAGAUUCACAGGUUGUGGAAACCCUGUGGAUAUAGUGUACCUUGGUCCAGCAAAGCAUUCCAGGUUCCCAUGAUAUCUACACUAAUAAAAAUGCAAAUUAUGUGCAGGAUGAUAUAACUGUUAGAUGAAUUCAUAAUUGGCUGAUUGGAUAUAUCAAGAAAAUACUAAUAAAUGGCUUUGUAUCACCUUGGAGAAUAAUAUUGAGUGGAUUGUCACAGUUUUCUUCUGGGCCCUGUGCUGUUCAACAUUUUUAUUAACGGCUUGGAUAAAGGAGCUGAAAAGAUGAUUAUUAAAUAUGCAGAUAACACAAAACUAGAAGCACUGAAAUUGGCUAAUGUUU